UACAUUAAUUUUAAUUAAUGUUCAGGUAAUUUUUUAUUGAAUCAGUAGACUAUAGUCUAUACCUAGUAGUGUAAAUGAUCACAUAACCUACUCAACUACUGAAUUUUUUUUUGCUUAAUUGCGAAUGUAAAACUGUGGAAUUAGACAUUGCAUUUUUUCACAUUAAAUAGAACAGUUUUACAUUUUUGUCUAACUCACCCACAUAAGCUAGUGGGUAGCGUGUGAAAUUUUAAGAAAGUAAAGAUGCACAUGGCCAGAAUCAUUUCAGUGUGCAAGAGAAUUUUUUGUAAUUUUUUUUUCAUGUCCAAAGCAAUGGGUUGUAUAUUUUGUAAGAAUUUUAAAAACAUUCCAUUGCUCUAUAUCAACAGAGUUCGUAAACAGGUUGUCAA